UCUUAUUCUAUAGCAUUUGUGAUAGCAAAGCAUAGAAAGCAUGUCUAUAGAAACUAAUUUAAAAUAAUUAUGAUUUUGUUUUUUCACUGUCAUAAAGAAGAUUAAAAAUAGAAAAUAAUAGCUUACUAGAGUGUACUAUAACAAGUUGUAGCUGUUUUCUUGAACAGUAACACAUUUGGUGCAAGUUGAAGACAUUCUGGGUAUUGCUGUUUGUAUUUUCUUGUUCUAUGUUUGCUUUGUUUAACUGUGGUUUCUUGUGAAAGUUUUGUCAUAAUUGAACACAGCUCAGGGUUUUACUUUUCAUAGCAAUUUUCUACUUUCUUUCUGAUAUUUUGUUGGGUUUUUGCUUUGUUUCUUGCAUGAAAAUGUAAGUUCUUUUUCCCCAUUUUCUUUUUUUGGGCCAAGGAGGGUGAGUGAUGUGGUGGGCAGAGGGGCCAGUGGGGGGUUCUUUUGUUUAAUUUUUUCCAAAUUAAUGUGAAGAUAAUGUUUGAUAGAAUCUUAUUGGUAAGAAAAAGUGUGUGAAUCACAUUCAGCAGAGUGGGAGAAAAGGUGAAGAAAUUUAAGAGAGAAUUUUGAAGGAUGAAUGAUAGCUCAGCUAGAGAAAUUAAUGAUAGUUUAGCCGCUAUUACUGAAAGACAACCUUAAAGGCCUUGUGGUUGUGUGGGCAUUUUCUUUCAGCUCUUUGAUCGGAAUCGUAGAUUUGCCAAGAAGCUGUUUCCAAAGAAACUGCUUUCCCCAGCUUGCUUUAAACAAGCUUCAAAAAAGUUUGUAGGGGAUCAGAAGAAACCAAAGCUUCGUUUGAUUGCUAAUGAGAACAGUGGGGGUUUUCCAACUGCAAAGAAUAAUGGAAUGAUCGAUACAUGUUUUGAAAGAAAGCGCGGAAUGAAAGAUCCAAGUUUGGUUGCUAGGCUCACGGGUUUGGAAUCGAUGCCAGCAGGAUCAGGCAGUAAGCCCCAAAAGGCUUCAGCUUCUGAAACAUGGAGAAAUGUGGCAGACAAACUUGGUGCUCGACCUGGUGGAUCUGAUAAAGAAGAUAUGGAUUUUGAGAUGGCCGAAAUAAAGAGUUCAGAACCAGGUUUGCAAUGGUUUAGAUCUAAAUGUGCUCUCACUUAUCCUACUAGAUAUUUUUCUCCU